rfam:Dipodomys ordii contig_6896, whole genome shotgun sequence.
GGUGGCUCAGUGGUAGAGCGCUUGCCUUGCAAGCAUGAGGCCCUGGGUUCCAUUCCUCAGCACCA